rnacentral:rRNA from 1 species
CACAAAGUGCUCUCGAUUGAUGGCUCAGUGAGGCCUCCGGACUGGCUCGGAGAGGUUGGCAACGACCACUCCGAGCCGGAAAGUUCGUCAAACUCGGUCAUUUAGAGGAAGUAAAAGUCGUAACAAGGUUUCCGUAGGUGAACCUGCGGAAGGAUCAUUA